rnacentral:rRNA from 1 species
CGAACGCUGGCGGCAGGCCUACACAUACAAGUCGAAGGAGAAGUUUCUCUUCGUAGAGAUGGACACUGGCGCACGGGUGAGUAACGCGUGGGGAUCUACCCCGGGGUGGGGGACAACCGCUGGAAACGGCGGCUAAUACCGCAUACGCCUUAAGAGGGAAAGCUUUAGCGCCCUGGGAUGAACCCGCGUUAGAUUAGGUAGUUGGUGGGGUAAUGGCCUACCAAGCCGACGAUCUAUAGCUGGUCUGAGAGGAUGAUCAGCCACACUGGGACUGAGACACGGCCCAGACUCCUACGGGAGGCAGCAGUGGGGAAUAUUGGACAAUGGGGGCAACCCUGAUCCAGCCAUGCCGCGUGCGUGAAGAAGGCCUUAGGGUUGUAAAGCGCUUUCACUGGUGAAGAUGAUGACGAGUAGCCAGAGAAGAAGCCCCGGCUAACUCCGUGCCAGACAGCACGCAGGUAAUACGGAGGGGGCAAGCAGUUGUUCGGAAUUACUGGGCGUAAAGGGCGCGUAGCCGGAAUAUCAAGUUAGAGGGUGAACGGC